rnacentral:rRNA from 1 species
AUACGUAGGGGGCGAGCGUUGUCCGGAAUGAUUGGGCGUAAAGGGCGCGUAGGCGGCGCGGUAAGUCUGGAGUGAAAGUCCUGCUUUCAAGGUGGGAAUUGCUUUGGAUACUGCCGCGCUUGAGUGCAGGAGAGGUUAUCGGAAUUCCCGGUGUAGCGGUGAAAUGCGUAGAGAUCGGGAGGAACACCAGUGGCGAAGGCGGGUAACUGGACUGCAACUGACGCUGAGGCGCGAAAGCGUGGGGAGCAAACAGGAUUAGAUACCCUGGUAGUCCACGCUGUAAACGAUGAAUACUAGGUGUGGGGGGACUGACCCCCUCCGUGCCGCAGUUAACACAAUAAGUAUUCCACCUGGGGAGUACGAUCGCAAGAUUGAAACUCAAAUGAAUUGACGGGG